rnacentral:rRNA from 1 species
GAAUUUUGGACAAUGGGGGCAACCCUGCUCCAGCCAUCCCGCGUGUGCGAUGAAGGCCUUCGGGUUGUAAAGCACUUUCGGCAGGGAAGAAAAGGCUCUGGUUAAUACCUGGAGCUGCUGACGGUACCUGCAGAAUAAGCCCCGGCCAACUACGUGCCACCAGCAGCGGUAAUACGUAGGGUGCAAGCGUUAAUCGGCAUUACUGGGCGUAAAGCGUGCGCAGGCGGUUUGGCAAGAAGAAGGUGAAAUCCCAGGGCUUAACCUUGGAACUGCAUUCUUAACUGCCAGGCUAGAGUAUGUCAGAGGGGGGUAGAAUUCCACGUGUAGCAGUGAAAGGCGUAGAGAUGUGGAGGAAGACCGAUGGCGAAGGCAGCCCCCUGGGAUAAUACUGACGCUCAUGCACGAAAGCGUGGGGAGCAAACA